rnacentral:rRNA from 1 species
UACGUAGGGACCAAGCGUUGUUCGGAUUUACUGGGCGUAAAGGGCGCGUAGGCGGCGCGGUAAGUCACUUGUGAAAUCUCUGAGCUUAACUCAGAACGGCCAAGUGAUACUGCAGUGCUAGAGUGUGGAAGGGGCAAUCGGAAUUCUUGGUGUAGCGGUGAAAUGCGUAGAUAUCAAGAGGAACACCUGAGGUGAAGACGGGUUGCUGGGCCAACACUGACGCUGAUGCGCGAAGCCAGGGGAGCAAACGGG